GGGUGCAUGGUCUAGUGGUAUGAUUUUCGCUUUGCAUAUUGUGUCAGUUGCUAAUGUGAACGGUCCCCGGUUCGAUCCCGGGUGUAUCCA